rnacentral:rRNA from 1 species
CCUUUGUACACACCGCCCGUCGCUACUACCGAUUGAAUGGCUUAGUGAGGUCUUGGGACUGGCUCAGGGAGGUCGGCAACGACCACCCAGAGCCGGAAACUUGAACAAACUUGGUCAUUUAGAGG